rnacentral:rRNA from 1 species
GAUGAACGCUGGCGGCGUGCUUAACACAUGCAAGUCGAACGGAAAGGCCCUGCGUUUGCGGGGUGCUCGAGUGGCGAACGGGUGAGUAACACGGGAGUAACCUCCCCUUGACUUUGGGAUAACUUCAGGGAACUGGGGCUAAUACCGGACAGGAGCUCCUGCUUCAUGGCGGGGGUUGGAAAGGUGCGGCGGUUGGGGAUGGACUCGCGGCUUAUCAGCUUGUUGGCGGGGUAGUGGCUUACCAGGGCUUGGACGGGUAGCCGGCCUGAGGGGGUGACCGGCCCCAUUGGGACUGGGCUAAGGCCCAGACUCAACCGGGAGGCAGAGGUGGGGAAUAUUGCACAAUGGGCGGAAGGCUGAUGCAGCGACGCCGCGUGCGGGAUGACGGGCUUCGGGUUGGAAACCGCUUUCGCCUGUGACGAAGAGUGAGUGACGGUAAUGGGUAAAGAAGCACCGGCUAACUACGUG